rnacentral:rRNA from 1 species
UACGUAGGGGGCGAGCGUUGUCCGGAUUUAUUGGGCGUAAAGAGCUCGUAGGCGGUUUGGCAAGUCGGGUGUGAAAUUUCGAGGCUCAACCUCGAAACGCCACUCGAUACUGCCAUGACUGGAGGCAGGGAGAGGGCGGUGGAAUCCGGGUGUAGUGGUGAAAUGCGUAGAUAUCCGGAGGAACACCAGUGGCGAAGGCGGCCGCCUGGACCUGACC